rnacentral:lncRNA from 1 species
CCAUGGAUGUAUCUGCAUCAUCCUCGCAUUAUGAAUUUUAGUAUCUGCAGCCACAUGAUCCAUAUGCAUAUGGUGCAUCUGAGGCAUCGUCUUCUAGUGGUUACAAUCCUAUACAGUUUGGAGCAUCUUACAGAUCAGAUUUUGCUACUGACAUAUUUGGAUGGGCUCCUCCACAGCCAUACCAUCAUCUCGAAGAUACUUUUUAGAGUAAGAGUUUUAGUGAGAGAUCUGAAAUGUCUUACAAUCCAGAGAGAUUGUCUUAUGGGAUGAAUAUUCGAGAGUACGGUACAGCUUGACUAGAGGGUUAGACUGAUAUCCCUCCAGAUUAUGUUAAUGAUCCAGACAUCUACGAGCAUCAC